UAGUCCACGCUGUAAACGAUGGUUACUAGCUGUUUGGACUUCGGUCUGAGUGGCUAAGCGAAAGUGAUAAGUAACCCACCUGGGGAGUACGUUCGCAAGAAUGAAACUCAAAGGAAUUGACGGGGGCCCGCACAAGCGGUGGAGCAUGUGGUUUAAUUCGAUGAUACGCGAGGAACCUUACCAGGGCUUAAAUGUAGAUUGACAGGUUUAGAGAUAGACUUUUCUUCGGACAAUUUACAAGGUGCUGCAUGGUUGUCGUCAGCUCGUGCCGUGAGGUGUCAGGUUAAGUCCUAUAACGAGCGCAACCCCUGUUGUUAGUUGCCAGCGAGUCAAGUCGGGAACUCUAACAAGACUGCCAGUGCAAACUGCGAGGAAGGUGGGGAUGACGUCAAGUCAUCAUGGCCUUUAUGCCCAGGGCUACACACGUGCUACAAUGGACAGGACAAAGGGUCGCCAAACCGCGAGGUGGAGCUAAUCCCAGAAACCUGUUCUCAGUUCGGAUUGAAGUCUGCAA
rnacentral:rRNA from 1 species